CGGUAUCGGUUGCUGCAGCUCCUGCCGGCCCUAAGCGCACGGUGCCACACGGCCACGCUCCAUUGUUGCUCGGGUCGACCACGAUGCCUAGGGUCACUCCGCUCGGACUCCGCCAUCGCCGCCUUCGAUUCUCUCUAAUCAUUCGUCUCUUACAGGGACGGUAGCCAAUGUAAAAGUUCUCAAAAGCUUUCGUUUCCUGUACUCUGUGCUGACGAAUAGAGCCCGAGACAUGAGUGGGGGUGUAGAGCCGGAGGCCACGCCCGGUAGCAGCAGCGGCGGUAGCAAGCCGCUGGGCGGCUAGCCACUGCAGCACCACCUGACGUCCAUCCGCCACUGCGCCAGCAGCGCCCGCAUCGCCGAGGCCUCCGCAGAAUUUGUAACUGAGCUGGAUUCAGGGACACUGAGCUUGAUCUCGCCCACAUACAUCCGUCCGGGCUUCCUGCCUGUGUUCCGGUCAGGGAGCUGCGCGGAUAUCGGGCUCAAAUCGUACAUGGAGGACGAACAUGUCUGCGUCGAGUGGCGACAACCUCGUCGGGCACCUCCUAUUGCGUACUCCAGGCAUGCCUGCACCGGGUGCCUUCUAUUGGGUGUUUGAUGGCCAUGGCGGUACAGAUGCUGCCUGUUUUGUUCGGAAGAAUAUAAUUAAGUUAAUAACCGAAGAUUGCCACUUCCCCAACAGCAUGGAGAAUGCGUUCGUAAAGGCUGAUCGGGCAAUUACGGAUUCUCAUUCUCUUGACCGUAAUUCUGGGACCACAGCAUUGACGGUCCUUAUAUUCGGCAAGUAAACUCUCAAGCUAAGAGCAUCUACAACAGUACAUGGCAGCUAGGGAAUUGAAGUGGAUGAAUCAAAAAUUGAAGCCAUCAAGAGCUGGCCGAUCUCGGAGACUAUUACACAGGUGAGAAGUUUUCAUGGUCUUGCAGGGUUUUAUCAGCAUUUUGUGAGAGAUUUCAGCACCAUUGCUGCGCCCCUUAAUGAGUUGACAAAAAAGGGUAUUCCAUUCCAUUGGGGUCCAGCACAAGAAGAAGCUUUUAACACGCUGAAAGAGAAGCUUACACGUGCACCUCUACUCCAACUUCCGAACUUUGGUAAGAAUUUUGAGUUAGAAUGUGAUGCUAGCGGAAUUGGAAUCGGAGGAGUGUUACUUCAAGAAUGUAAACCCGUUGCUUACUUUAGUGAGAAAUUAUAUGGGCUAUCUCUGAAUUAUUCGACUUAUGAUAAGGAAUUGUAUGCUUUAGUUCGAGUUUUAGAAACAUGGCAACACUAUCUUUGGCCUAAGGAGUUUAUUAUUCAUUCUGAUCAUGAAUCUUUGAAGCACAUUAGAAGUCAAGCUAUACUGAAUAAAUGACAUGCUAAAUGGGUUGAGUUCAUAGAAUCUUUUCCAUACAUAAUUAAACACAAGAAAGGUAAAGACAAUGUCAUUGCGGAUGCAUUAUCUAGACGUUACACCAUGUUCCCAACUAGAUCACAAAAUCUUUGGUUUAGAAACAAUAAAAGGGUUGUAUGCAACUGAUUCGGACUUUAAAGAUGCUUUUCAAAAUUGUAAAGAAGGGAGAACUUGGACUAAGUAUGUGCUGAAUGAUGGACUUCUUUAUCGCGCUAAUAAGCUAUGCAUUCCAGCUAGCUCCGUUCGUCUUUUGUUUUUACAGGAGGCGCAUGGAGGAGGUUUGAUGGGACAUUUUGGAGUGAAGAAAACUGAAGAUGUGCUGGCCACUCAUUUAUUUUGGCCAAAGAUGAGACGUGAUAUCGAGCGCUACGUGUCACGCUGCACUACUUGCAAUAAAGCUAAGUCUCGCUUGAAUCCACAUGAUCUUUAUAUGCCUCUUCCUGUUCCUAGUGUACCUUAGGAGGAUAUUUCUAUGGACUCUGUUUUAGGAUUGCCUAGGACAAAGAGGGGGAGGGAUAGUAUAUUUGUAGUGGUGGAUCAUUUUUCUAAAAUGGAACAUUUUAUACCUUGUCACAAGAGUGAUGAUGCUACACACAUAGCUGAUUUAUUUUUCAGGGAGAUUAUAUGCUUACAUGGAGUGCAAAAUACCAUUGUCUCUGAUCGUGAUGCAAAGUUUUUGAGUCGUUUUUGGAGGACAUUAUGGAAUAAAUUGGGGACAAAGAUGUUGUUCUCUACUGCAUGUCAUCCCCAAACUGAUGGAUAAAUGGAGGUUGUUAAUCGCACAUUAUCUACUAUGUUGCAGGCUAUUUUAAAGAAGAAUUUGAAGAUGUGGGAAGAGUAUUUGCCUCAUAUUGAGUUCGCUUACAACAGAUCCGUCCACUCCACCACCAAGGUAAGUCCGUUUCAGGUAGUGUAUGGUUUCAAUCGUCGUGCUCCUAUUGAUUUACUACCUUUACCUCCUUCUGAAAUUCUGAAUUUGGAUGCUACACAACGUGCUGAAUUUAUUCUAAAGAUGCAUGAAACAACUAAAGAAAAUAUUAAAGAUGAAUGAGAAAUAUAGAGCUUAUGGUAGCCAGGGUAGAAAACAUUAAACUUUUGAACAUGGUGAUCUUGUUUAGUUACACUUGCGUAAAGAUCGAUUUCCUGAGUUGAGAAAAUCUAAAUUGGUGCCUCGAGCUUAUGGUCCUUUUAAAGUUCUUGAGAAGAUUAAUGAUAAUACAUAUAAGCUUGAGUUGCCUGCAGAUUUUAGGGUUAGUCCCACAUUUAACAUUUCAGAUUUAAAACUAUAUGUUGGAGAGGAAGAUGAGGUUGCGUCGAGGGAAACUCCAAUUCAAGAGGGGGAGGAUGAUGAGGACAUCACUAAUUUAGAUACACGCGCUACAAGUGAUCCUCCGAUGAUUCAUCCAUUACAAGGACCGAUUACACGGGCUCGUGCACGUCGUUUAACUUAUGAGGAAUAUGGGAGAAGCACCUAUGGAACAGCCAAGUCGGACGGGGCUCAAGCAAACUUCAAGUCGGAGUCGGAACUCGGUUCGGAUUCAGCAGACAGCGCCGCACUAAAAUGAUCAUAACUACUUCAUAUGGAGUCAAAAUAAGGUGUUCUUUGAUGCGUUGGAAAGCUAAGGACAACAACUUUGUUUUGGUACUGGUCCCAGAUCCAGAUUCAUGGUGGAUUAUUUUGUGUCAUCAAAACAAUGUGCGGUGUCACAAUUUUGGGCCAUAUCAGGCCUUGUAAAUGUGUUCAGGUCUAAGACCAAGUUGUGGACGCCCCCUGGUCACCCAAAACCUAGCACGCCCCUCUUCAUAUAUCUAGCAGCCGUCAUCAUAGACUUUUUAGGUUUUACUUAGAUUAAUUUGUCAUUGAACAGUUUUGCUGUCAUUCGGUUUGUGAAACCCCAACU